rnacentral:lncRNA from 1 species
CCCUUAUGGACCACACAGAAGAAGAUUCAGCCCUUUGGGACUUUCUUACUGGGGCACCUCUGGUGUACACAAAGGAAGGUCACACCAAAGCACUGAGGAAAACACACCUGCCUCUUCCUCUGGGCUGUGGGUGGGGGCUCUGUGUUGGAAACCGGGAUUUGUCUACGGGGAGUACCACCAGGCUGGAGCAGAAAUGCUCAUGCUUUUCCCAGCACGCAUCUUGUGAGCUCUCACCCAGGCAUCUCCCAGGAUGAAGCGUGCUCCAGCCAGCAAGCAGCAGAGUCAUGGUCCGGCAUGGUUGGAGCCAGCCCUGGGAGCAAGCGCUGCCACAAGCUCUUGGCUGGCUCCUGCGGUGCUGCCUGUCACCCUCUGCCUAACGCCCACCAUGGGAGGUAGCCCCAGGGAAGGGUGGUGUAGGGCCAUGGCAACUCAGCCUGACUUCCUGCCCCUCGCGCCGCUCAGCUUUGGAUCCAUCGCUGCCCACUCACCUGCUCCCUGUACUGGAAGCGGAGCAGCACAAAUCUCCCAGGAACGCAGGGACAUCAGUAGCAGGAGGAGGACAAGGCGGGCAGGGGCCGUGGGCCCCCCACACCUGUGCCAUGCUGCCACCACCACCGCUGCAGCCACAGCAAGUGCUGCCGUUGGGUCAGGCGCCGAGCAAUGCCUGUGCCAUGGGACAGCAUCAAAACUGGGCCUUGUGACAUCACAGCUCUGCACAGCCAUGUAGCGGGGCAUUGUGACCUCACGGCCCCGUGAAGCCGGGUGGAGGCUGCCCGUGAGCCGCUCCUCUUGUGAUGCACUGCACCAGG